UACGUAGGGGGCAAGCGUUAAUCGGAAUUACUGAGCGUAAAGCGUGCGCAGGCGGUUCUGAAAGUCAGCUGUGAAAGCCCCGGGCUUAACCUGGGAAUGGCGGUUGAAACUACAGGACUAGAAUCUGGCAGAGGGGGGUGGAAUUCCACGUGUAGCAGUGAAAUGCGUAGAGAUGUGGAGGAACACCGAUGGCGAAGGCAGCCCCCUGGGCUGAGAUUGACGCUCAGGCACGAAAGCGUGGGGAGCAAACAGG
rnacentral:rRNA from 1 species